rnacentral:rRNA from 1 species
CCUACGGGAGGCAGCAGUGGGGAAUAUUGCACAAUGGGGGAAACCCUGAUGCAGCGACGCCGCGUGAGUGAAGAAGGAUUUCGGUAUGUAAAGCUCUAUCAGCAGGGAAGAAAAUGACGGUACCUGAGUAAGAAGCUCCGGCUAAAUACGUGCCAGCAGCCGCGGUAAUACGUAGGGAGCAAGCGUUAGCCGGAUUUACUGGGCGGAAAGGGAGCGUAGGCGGGCUGCCAAGUCUGAUGUGAAAGACGGGGGCUCAACCCCGGGGCUGCAUUGGAAACUGGCAGGCUGGAGUGCCGGAGAGGCAGGCGGAAUUCCUGGUGUAGCGGUGAAAUGCGUAGAUAUUAGGAGGAACACCAGUGGCGAAGGCGGCCUGCUGGACGGUGACUGACGCUGAGGCUCGAAAGCGUGGGGAGCAAACAGGAUUAGAUACCCGGGUAGUC